GAUGAACGCUGACAGAAUGCUUAACACAUGCAAGUCGAUGGGGAAGUGGUGCUUGCACCAUGGUUACCAUGGCGGACGGGUGAGUAACGCGUAAGGAACUUGCCUGCGUGUCUGGGAUAACAGCAGUAAACUGCUGAUAAUACCGGAUAAGUUCAUUAAUCUGCAUAGCUUAGCGAUGAAAGGAGACGCCUUCGGAGUGCCUUGCGUCCUAUUAGCUACUUGGAGCGGUAACGGCCCACCAAGGCGAAGACAAGGAGCCGGCCUGAGAGGCGGGACGGCCACGAGGGGACUGGGAUACGGCCCUUGCUCCUACGGGAGGCAGCAGUGGAGAAUAUUGGACAAUGGGGGCAACCCUGAUCCAGGAAUUCUGUGUGCACGAAGACGGUUUUCGGGUUGUAAAGUGCUUUCAGCAGGGAAGAAGGAAGUGACGGUACCUGCAGAAGAAGCGACGGCUAAAUACGUG
rnacentral:rRNA from 1 species